GAUGAACGCUGGCGGCGUGCCUAAUACAUGCCAGUCGAGCGAACAGAUAAGGAGCUUGCUCCUUUGACGUUAGCGGCGGACGGGUGAGUAACACGUGGGUAACCUACCUAUAAGACUGGAAUAACUCCGGGAAACCGGGGCUAAUGCCGGAUAACAUUUAGAACCGCAUGGUUCUAAAGUGAAAGAUGGUUUUGCUAUCACUUAUAGAUGGACCCGCGCCGUAUUAGCUAGUUGGUAAGGUAACGGCUUACCAAGGCAACGAUACGUAGCCGACCUGAGAGGGUGAUCGGCCACACUGGAACAGAGAAUCGGUACAGACUCCUACGGGAGGCAGCAGUAGGGAAUCUUCCGCAAUGGGCGAAAGCCUGACGGAGCAACGCCGCGUGAGUGAUGAAGGUCUUCUGAUCGUAAAACCCUGUUAUUAGGGAAGAACUAAUGUGUAAGUAACUGUGCACGUCUUGACGGUACCUAAUCAGAAAGCCACGGCUAACUACGUG
rnacentral:rRNA from 1 species